AAAAUAUCUUGUAUCACCAACCUCUUUAUUAGCAUACUUGUCAGCUCUUACUUAAAAUGCAUCUUAUCUUAUCAAGAUUCGAGAAAGAGAAGAGAGAAGGAAGAAAGAACGUGAAGAAAAAGAAAAAUAUGAAGCUAAACUGGAAGCUGAAAUGAAAAUUUAUAUCCCCUGGGGGAAAAGUGGAGGUGGUGCUCCUUUGAGGGAUGCAAAAGGAAAUUUGAUAACUGAUUUGAAUAGGAUGCACAAACAAAAUAUAGAUGCCUACCAUAACCCAGAUGCAAGAACAUAUGAAGAUAAAAGGGCUGUUGUAUCUCUAAACCAAAAUUUAGCCACUUCAAAUGCUGAGAACCUAGAAGAUUCUGCAAAUAACAAUUCAGGUCAUGUGCAAACACAGAGUUCUCCUUUUGCUCGGGGAAAUAUAUUUGGUGAGCCUCCAACUGAACUUCAGAUUAAACAGCAAGAGUUAUACAAGAAUUUUCUUCGUUUUCAGAUUUUGGAAAAGAGUGACCUAAAAAGC
rnacentral:lncRNA from 1 species